AAAUAAUGUUGCAAGUUCAGACCUGGUAGGGGACAGAUGAGUACGUCAGUGGAAAAGGACAUAUAUGAUCAUGCACACUCCAGACUGGGGAAAUUUCUCUUUGUCAGCCCGGUGAGGGACACCCGCACAGCCUGAAGGGACCAACUUCCAGGAGGAAAAUGGUACUUCACAGAUACCUUGGACUUUCUUGCUGGAACUGUGACUCAACCUGCUUCAGAUUUCCUGAAACUGGUAGAAGACAAUAUCACACAUGAUGCCUAUCUCAUCCUAUUCUCCUUGGAAUCAGUGGGGGUCCUGUCACUACGUCAACAAUCUGUAUAUUUCUGUAGAAAUACACCAGUGGGAAAAGGCUGCAAAAAUUCUGGCCACCAUGUAAAUCCCACACUGAAGACAUUUGGGAAGCAGAGGAGGCAAAAAACUUUGUGCUGGCCCUCUGAAUGAAGGCUGUGUAACCGCAUCUGCAAGAUCAGUCAAGCAUCCUUCCAAAGCUUCCAGUUCUGAUUCCAUUUCUUCGGGUACCUAAACUCAAGCUUACAGCACAAGAAAAGGCUGAAGGCUCUGCUGGAGUGACUCCAUUGACUUCCAUGUCUUCCGGGGGCUUCAAUUUGCAAAACAGACAGAAGAAGAGAGAACCCUUCCUCCACCCCUCUUCCCUGCGAUUCCUGAAAGUGACAUCUGUGCAGUGCUGCGGGAAACAUUACGCAGCUUAGCCUUGUUUUUUACCCUGCCACUCCCAAUUUACUCAUGCCCAC